rnacentral:rRNA from 1 species
ACUCCUACGGGAGGCAGCAGCGAGGAAUAUUGCGCAAUGAGCGAAAGCUAGACGCAGCAACGCCGCGUGGGUGAUGAAGGCCUUCGGGUCGUAAAACCCUUUUCUGAGGGAAGAGAAAGGACGGUACCUCAGGAAUAAGCCUCGGCUAACUAUGUGCCAGCAGCCGCGGUAAU